rnacentral:rRNA from 1 species
GGAGUUAGCCGGUGCUUCUUCUGCGAGUAACGUCACAGAUGUAAGGUAUUAACUUACACCCUUUCCUCCUCGCUGAAAGUGCUUUACAACCCGAAGGCCUUCUUCACACACGCGGCAUGGCUGCAUCAGGGUUUCCCCCAUUGUGCAAUAUUCCCCACUGCUGCCUCCCGUAGGAGUCUGGGCCGUGUCUCAGUCCCAGUGUGGCUGAUCAUCCUCUCAGACCAGCUAGGGAUCGUCGCCUAGGUGAGCCUUUACCUCACCUACUAGCUAAUCCCACCUGGGCUUAUCCAUCAGCGCAAGGCCCGAAGGUCCCCUGCUUUCCCCCGUAGGGCGUAUGCGGUAUUAGCAGUCGUUUCCAACUGUUAUCCCCCACAAAUGGGCAAAUUCCCAGGCAUUACUCACCCGUCCGCCGCUCGUCAUCUUCAAAAGCAAGCUUUUGAAAUGUUACCGCUCGACUUGCAUGUGUUAGGCCUGCCGCCAGCGUCAUCUGAGCGAGAUACAAACUACUGA